GUAUUCAACAUGGCGCGGCAGUAUGUAACGCUCUCGUUUCACUCGAGAAUAAAUGACAACAAUGUGGUGUGCCUUCUGUUGGAAUCGGUUUUGACAUUUUGGCAAUUGUGUUAUUAUAUUAUUAUACAAUGUUCGCGGACAAAUUCCAACGUUUUCCUAACUAAAAAAAAUUUGCUAUCUACGAGUAUUGGUCACUUCUGAAAGAACCAAGUGGAGCAGCGUGAUACCGACUAUAACCUCUCCAAAACAUUUCUAGUGAUCUUUUUUUAUACACUUUUAUAAAAAGAAUAGAGAGUGUACUUUAUAAUUUAAAUGCAUAUUCAGUUAGAUAAAGAAAAUAUAUUGAAUUCAGUUUCAUCUAUCAAACAGAUAUUGGUUAAUGUCGUCCUGCAUUUUUACAUGCCGCGUUCAUUCUAACCUAUUUGAAACUAUCACAUAUGUUGAGAUGAGAAUUUAUUUCCUUGAUCAAAGUGUAAGCUAAUAAAUGAGUGCGCCCGAAGAAUCAUUGAGCGAUCAGGAUCCUGAUUAUGUUUCCGCGAUCUCCAAUAAUCAAGCUCAACAGAAGAUUUAUGAGGAAAAUGCUAGGAACACCACCGCGAGAAAAAUAACUGCAAUAGUGGAGAAGGAAUUUUCCCUCGAAAUCGAUUUGAAGGAAAAGGAAGUGUUAGAAAUACAGGAACGACUGCACCAAGCUCUGAAAAUCUUUCAUCUUCUGCGCUACGCCAUAAUUAGUAAUUUCUAUAAUCACAAGCAGUGUCAAGUUUCCCAGACUUCAGAAACGACGAAGCAAACCAGGAUACAUCCUGCGGUCAAGUCGCUGCUCGGCAAGAGUCCCAAACCGAUUUACUGUACAGACUUUGCAGUACCGUCAACAUCAAAGGAUCCUCGAUUCUUAUGCAAUGACGAGUCUCUUGCGUCAGACGCAAAGACGACGACGGACAGUGCGCCUAAGGUCAAGGAAAAUGCAUGCGAGCGUGACAAGGUGCCGCAGGACAAGAAGCGAGCACUGCCAAGCGAGGAGGAAUCUCGGCCCCGGAAGGUGCCACGUUACGUGCCACCGAAGAGCAGUAUACCAGAGACUGUGUGUCCGUCGCGCGGUAACAGCCACAAGGUUCGCGAACGCAUCAUCGUUGGCAACAUCUCCAAGUGGAUCCCCUCGGAUUGGCGGGAAGAUUCAUCUAGUCACAAGUGGACGAUGUACGUGCGCGGCGAUAAGGAUAACGCGGACAUCAGCGCGUACGUCAGCAAGGUGAGGUUCUUCCUGCAUCCCAGUUACCAUCCGAAGGACGUCGUCGAGGUCACGGCGUAUCCGUUUCACUUAUCCAGACGAGGAUGGGGCGAGUUUCCCGUUCGAGUGCAGCUGCAUUUUAAGAAUCCUUUGGACAAACCCAUAGACAUAAUUCACCACCUGAAACUCGACCGCACGUACACGGGAUUGCAAACGUUAGGCUCGGAAACCUUGGUCGACGUGUGGAUCAACACGACGGAGUCUCGUAAUCUCGAGCAGAGCGGCGACAACAAGUCCAUCGAGUCUUCCACUGAUGACGACGUAUCCGUAAAGCUAGAACCCAGCGAAGAAGCGAAAGGCUCUAAGGGAACGUCACGACUCACCGCAGGCACCUUCGAGCGAGCUCGAGUUAAGCAAGAGAUCGUUGAUAAUUCGGAAGUGUGUGAACUGUCCGAUUCAAUGCUGUACUUAACGAAAAACUCCGAAGACGCUAAAAUAAAAUUCGAAUCCAGUAACGGAUUAACUCUGCAGGAGGUGCGUCACUACGUCCAGCUGGAUCACGAUUAUUUUGGUAAGCAGUGUUCAGGUGACUCUUAUCAUUGUAUCGUGAACGAAGGAAACGUGACUAUAGAACACUGUCUGGGAAAUAAUCACGUGUCAGCUGUUGAUUCGCCAGUAAUACCGAUUGCCAGCAGUGAGAAGAAAACGUCGGAUGAUGCGACGGUCGUGCACAGAUUUAAUGGUAGCAUUAAGCCUUCCAGUGACUUGCAAAUUACCGACUCGGUGAUUCCUGAUGUGGCAAAGUCAGAGAGCAUGGUACCUCAAGAGAGCCACAGUCGAGGGAGUCCAAUAUUGUUUGAUUCAAUGACGAUCUCGCAAGCGAAAUACUCGCAACACAAUAGCAACUCGAAAAUUUUGGAAAAUGCUUCAGCGAGAGACGCAACGAAUGCAAUUAAUGGCUUCCGCAAAUCGCCCGACGUCUCUCUCGAUCGAUUAGGCGUACAGAGAGUCCCGGGUUCCUCGAAGUGCAAUUCACAUUUGAGACCAUUAGAGAUUACUAUACCGCCACCGAACGUGCUGGCGCCGUCUAACAAGCACGUCCUUCUUCUGAAGGACAGGAAAUCGAUUCCGCUGGAUGUGACGAGCUUCGUCGCAUCGAGGAAGAAGCUUGUCGACGGCAGUGCGAAAGUUCCUCUCGCGAGGAACAACAACGCAAAGGUAGACGUGCACAUUCCUCACGGUAUAAGCAUCUUAAAGAAGCCGUUCAAUACCACAACGAAUGCGCAGCACGAGGCUGCAGCCAACAACAGCAAGAAGACCGCUGUGCUCACGUUGAAAAAUGCGAACAGUAUUCUGCUGAAUGUUAACGAGGACGUGCCGAUUCUGAAGAUAGUCGAUCCGGCUGAUCCACGGUACAAUUAUAAUCUCACUAACGCGACGAGACUGUGCUCGAGCUCGGAGCCGAGUACCGACAGGCAAGAAUCGUGCGCGCGAUUAGAGAAGCCAACGGUGCAGCGAGCGAAGAUCACGCUGGGCAAGGACAAGCACAAGAUACAGAGCAAGCGUGAUCUGUACGAGGCGGUUCUCCGAUCGAUCGACACCGCGAACAUCACCGACACGGAGGCGCUGAUACGGUACGUUAUACGCCGAUUGCCGAUCGUUACAUCCGACGCCUGCGACUCCGAGUACAAGCGAUUGCACCCCUACGCGUGCCGCAGCGAGGAGGAGUUCUUCGCGUACAACGUCGGCAAGCAGAGAGCCUCGGAGUGGUAUCGCGCGAGGACGAUCAAAUAUUUUCUGCAGAGAAAGUCGAUACCGGCGGAUCAAUUGUGGAGCGUCAAGGAAAUCGUACUGUGGGCGAGAUUACACGGUCACACUCCGAUACGGAGUGCGUUCAACGUGCCGACGACAGCGGUAACGAAGGGACCGCCUGACGCUUCUACCUCCGCGGUUCUCUCCACGUGUACGGACUCCGCCGCGUUACAGAAGUGGCUGCAAGGCUGCCGCAGGCGAGAAUCCAAUCAUCAGUUGGCAGACGGUCACGUCGAUGUCGAAGAGAUCGACGUGGAGGGCGUUGAAGGCGUUCCAGCAUGCAGAACCACGAUUGAUCGGAGAAAAAACGAUGACGUCCAGAGUAGCGGCUGUAGAAGUGCUUCUUCCGCGUUGCUACCGCUUGAACUCGACGAGGGUUUACUGCCGCUUCACAAUUUCGUGUGCGACACCGCGCGAGAUAGCGGCGUCGAGAUCGGAUCGGAGGAAAUCGUCCCUGGUGUCCAGCAUUGCGCAACUAGUCGUGUGAUUAUGCGCGUGAUCGAGUGUUUUGUGGAGGACCUGGCUCGAUCGUCACUGGCGAGAGCUUGGGAAAGAAACAGCAGCGACGAGUGUCCCAAGAGCAUUACGUCGGACGACGUUCGUAGUGCUCUCAUGAGUCGAGAGGAGUUUCAUAUUUUCACAAAUGAAGGCCUGGGCUCGAGGCAGCGGUUGAACGCGACGGAUCCGUCUAGCUUGUGACGCCUAGGAAAUGGCUUUCGAAUUAACAACGAAUUAAUUCAGCGCAAUGAAUCCACGCCCGGGAAAAUGCCACUGGCGGACUGGCUCGUAAUAGGCUAAGAGCGGCUCCACGCGGUACUUCGAGUGUCCCGUUAUCGUGUGCAGUGCGUAUCUCCAGUCCACGCUGCUCCCAAGCUCCAUUACCGACCUAUCGAAAGUAAAAAGUAAGCCAGACUGCAUCUUUACGCAUUUGUUAUAUGUACAUUUGCAACAUACAUUCUUCCAUAUUCGCAAUAAGAGUUUCAGAUAAAACUUUGUUAUUAAAGACACUCUACGAUUGCCAGGACUUUGACAUAUGUUGUCCAGGUUCAUUAAAGUCCAUUACUCAUGAAACAAAUUAUCAAUAAAGUAUUAUUAACAAGAAGUCAGAUAAAAGGACGUAGUUUUUUUUAAUAGUAUGUACAUUGUAUAACAAGUAAAUAUAUGUACAAGAAGAAAUAAAUUUAUAGUACGUAGGAUAUAAUUGUGGGUUGGAUUAGAUUGGAUCUUUCGCGAUCGGGAAUUUAUAAAAUAAAGAUGGGCGAAACCUGCGUCACCAUAAUUUUAUAACGAAACAAAUAUUUAAAAUUCACAUAGAAUUAUGCAAAAUCAUGGAUCUCACUUUGGAAAUCAUGGGAAGGAGAUCGAUUUUUCGAGGACACAAAUAUUUUUACAAAAAUUAAAACAAAUAAGAAACACAAGAUAGUCACAAAUAUCAUUAAUUAAUAAAUUUUAUAUUAAUUUGUCUAUAAAAUGUACUCAAUUAACGAUAAUAUAUGCGAAUACCGUCAAACGUUUAAUCAUUUUAUUAUCAGUUUUAUUAUCAUUUAAUUUCUUUUUAGCAGUUUGUUAAUUAACUUUAAUUGUAAAGGCUGAAAUCUUUUAAAAGUUACAAUUAUUUUGUUGAGACAAUAUACGUCAACAUCGAGAUAAUCGAAAGAGUUGCUCUAAGAACAAACUUUUAUCGAGUUUUUUUAUUUCGACAACUAGACAACGAGUUUGUUGCAACGUCAUAGAAAAAUUAUUUUUUUACCAUUUCUCUUCUUUUAAUUUGAUGUAAUAAGACAAAUCAGAUUAAAACCACAAUUUUCUAA
rnacentral:misc_RNA from 1 species